rnacentral:rRNA from 1 species
AUUGAACGCUGGCGGCAUGCCUUACACAUGCAAGUCGAACGGUAGAGGGGGCAACCCCUCGAGAGUGGCGAACGGGUGAGUAAUGCAUCGGAACGUGCCCAGUAGUGGGGGAUAGCCCGGCGAAAGCCGGAUUAAUACCGCAUGAGACCUACGGGUGAAAGGGGGGGAUCGCAAGACCUCUCGCUAUUGGAGCGGCCGAUGUCAGAUUAGGUAGUUGGUGGGGUAAAGGCCUACCAAGCCGACGAUCUGUAGCUGGUCUGAGAGGACGACCGGCCAGACUGGGACUGAGACACGGCCCAGACUCCUACGGGAGGCAGCAGUGGGGAAUCUUGGACAAUGGGCGAAAGCCUGAUCCAGCCAUGCCGCGUGCGGGAAGAAGGCCUUCGGGUUGUAAACCGCUUUUGUCAGGGAAGAAAUCCUUUGAGCUAAUACCUCGGGGGGAUGACGGUACCUGAAGAAUAAGCACCGGCUAACUACGUGCCAGCCGCCGCGGUAA